UCUACGGGGGGCAGCAGUGGGGAAUAUUGGACAAUGGGGGGAACCCUGAUCCAGCGACGCCGCGUGAGUGAAGAAGUAUUUCGGUAUGUAAAGCUCUAUCAGCAGGGAAGAAAAUGACGGUACCUGACUAAGAAGCCCCGGCUAACUACGUGCCAGCAGCCGCGGUAAUACGUAGGGGGCAAGCGUUAUCCGGAUUUACUGGGUGUAAAGGGAGCGUAGACGGUGCAGCAAGUCUGAUGUGAAAGGUCGGGGCCCAACCCCGGGACUGCAUUGGGAACGGCCAGGCUGGAGUGCCGGAGAGGCAG
rnacentral:rRNA from 1 species